CUCAGAGAUCAUUGAAGAAGGGUCUUGACUCAAAACAUCACCUAUUCAUGUUCUCCAGAGAUCCUGCCAUACUUGCUGAGUUACUGAAGCACUGAGUUACUGAAGAGUUACUGUGUCCUUUUGUGAAUCAAUCCUAUGUCUAUAGGUAUAUGACAGAGCAUAUCAACUGGUUGCCUUGUGACAUCAUUUGGAAAUGUGAACACUCAGGAACAAACGAGUCUGCGGAAAGUGGUCAACAUUGACUUCUCCACCAUCGAAGGGAUCUACGGGAAGCGCUGCCUCAAUAAGGCAGCUAAUAUCAUCGAAGACCCGAACAAUCCUGACCAUGCUCUCAUCUCACUGCUAUCAUCAGGCAGAAGGUACAUCUUCCCAUUACAUUCUUGAACCAAUCCUGCACAGCAAUAAUCACAACCAUACAUCAGUACCAAACUAUUGUGGACAUUGUACAUAUAAGAAGGGUAAGGAUAGAAAGGUCAGUAUGCAAAUGGUAAGGAAAGUUAAAAGGGUUAGCAACAGAGAAAUCCAACAGGACUUGGCAGGGUGCAAGUGUUAAUGAAACAGUCACCUUAUUUGCGCUAGGUCUCACCAAUGUAAAAGAGGCCACAUCAGGCAUGACAAAUGCAGGUGGUUUGAAGAGGUGCAUGUAAAUCUGUCUCACAUGGAAGAGCUGUUAGGGUUCCCUGGAUGGAAGUGAGAGGGGAGGUGUUGGAACAGAUUUUCAGCAGUUGCAGGGGAAAGUACCCAGGGAGGGUGUUGGUUGGGUGGGAAGGGAUGAGUGAGGAGGGAAGGGAAGUGGUCUCUAUGGAAAGCAAAACGUGGUGGGGAUAAGAAGAUGGGACUGAUGGUUGAAGGUGGCGGAGAUAACGGUGAAAAUGUUGGAUGUGGAGGCUAGUGGGGUGAAAGGUGAGGACCAAAGGAACUUCAUCCUUGUUCCUUCUAGGGGAGGGAGAAGUAAGACCAGAAAUGUUGGACAGAGGGAAAACAUGGUUGAGGGCUCUAUAAACAACAGCAGGGGAAAACCACAUUUAUUGAAGGAAGAUGCCAUCCUGCAUGUCCUACAGUGCAGAGCAUUCGUCUCUGCUGCAUCUACU